AACCCCCCGUGCGGCGACAUCUCGCCCAACUCCCCCAGGGCCGGAAGGCAGCAAGGGUAAGUGAGCUCUGUCGGGUGCACGGGGGGCCUUU
rnacentral:SRP_RNA from 1 species